CAGUGCUCAGAGGAGCUGCCUGUGACAAACAUUGAGGAGAUAUGAGACUGUGGUGAUAUGGAAUCCUUGCACUAUAAUGAUAAUAGAACUCUUGAGAUGUAAGACAAUAGGGGCAAGUGUUGGCAGAGCACCCCCAAACUGGGCUGCUGGGGCAGGCAAUGCUGAACCCGCUGUGCUGGGCCUCAUCUCGUCAACAGGAACCACCAGGGCACUGCACUGGAAACGCCAGAGAUCCCCAAGCGAGCCCUUCCAUCACAGCUGGGCACAGGAAGGGUUCCCUGUGCUGGCUGUGCAAUGGCUGGUGGAAGAAUCUGUGCGCUCACACCCCAGGGGUUUUUGGCUAGAUUUGGUGAGGGGUUUCUUCAUUUGCACACCAACCCCGAUGUCACCUCCUGCUCACAGUCCUGGAUGCCAUCCUCCAGGCAGCAGCAGGGGGAUACUCGACAAAGGGGGAUUUCCAACCACCAACAACAGGUGACCCUGCCCCAUGAACACACAGCUGUGCCUGCCCCCUGUCUCUGGCUGUAAAUCCUUAUGGGGGUGAUCCUGCCCCCCAUAACACACAGCUGUGGCCACAGCCUCUCAGCAGCUGAGUGCUGUGGCACAGUGAAGGCUCCAGAGCAA